AGAGUUUGAUCAUGGCUCAGGACGAACGCUGGCGGCGUGCUUAACACAUGCAAGUCAAGGGGGCCCGCAAGGGUAACCGGCGAACGGGUGCGUAACACGUGAGCGACCUGCCGAUCUGCGGGGGAUAGCCGGCCCAACGGCCGGGUAAUACCGCAUACGCUUCUCUUGGGGCAUCCUGAGGGAAGGAAACUUCCGGGGCGGAUCGAGGGGCUCGCGGCCUAUCAGCUAGUUGGCGAGGUAACGGCUCACCAAGGCGACGACGGGUAGCUGGUCUGAGAGGAUGGCCAGCCACAUUGGGACUGAGAAACGGCCCAGACUCCUACGGGAGGCAGCAGUGGGGAAUAUUGCGCAAUGGCCGCAAGGCUGACGCAGCGACGCCGCGUGUGGGAGGACGCCUUUCGGGGUGUAAACCACUGUUGCCCGGGACGAACAACUGGCAUUGGCCAGUCUGACGGUACCGGGUGAGGAAGCACCGGCUAACUCCGUGCCAGCAGCCGCGGUAAUACGGAGGGUGCGAGCGUUGUCCGGAAUCACUGGGCGUAAAGGGCGCGUAGGCGGUGCGGUAAGCGUGCGGUGAAAGCUCGGGGCUCAACCCCGAGUCGGCCGUGCGAACUGCUGGACUGGAGCAUGUCAGAGGCGGGUGGAAUUCCGGGUGUAGCGGUGGAAUGCAGAGAUCCGGAAGAACACCGGUGGCGAAGGCGGCCCGCUGGGACAUAGCUGACGCUGAGGCGCGACAGCGUGGGGAGCAAACAGGAUUAGAUACCCUAGUAGUCC
rnacentral:rRNA from 1 species